GACGAACGCUGGCGGCGUGCUUAACACAUGCAAGUCGAACGGAAAGGCCCUGCUUUUGUGGGGUGCUCGAGUGGCGAACGGGUGAGUAACACGUGAGUAACCUGCCCUUGACUUUGGGAUAACUUCAGGAAACUGGGGCUAAUACCGGAUAGGAGCUCCUGCUGCAUGGUGGGGGUUGGAAAGUUUCGGCGGUUGGGGAUGGACUCGCGGCUUAUCAGCUUGUUGGUGGGGUAGUGGCUUACCAAGGCUUUGACGGGUAGCCGGCCUGAGAGGGUGACCGGCCACAUUGGGACUGAGAGACGGCCCAGACGCCUACGGGAGGCAGCAGUGGGGAAUAUUGCACAGUGGGCGGAAGCCUGAUGCAGCAACGCCGCGUGCGGGAUGACGGCCUUCGGGUGGUAAACCGCUUUCGCCGGUGACGAAGCGUGAGUGACGGUAAUGGGUAAAGAAGCACCGGCUAACUACGUG
rnacentral:rRNA from 1 species